UGUGGACAUGGGCAUGCCCCACGGUCUACUUUGUGACAACGUCAGAAUUGCUUGCUAAGGAGCAGUCCAGCUGGGCAAGUGAUCAAGGCUGGUAUGCUUCAGAACUCCUGGCCUUAAGAUACAUGAGGAGGAGAUUUAUUAUAAGGCAACUGAUCAGACGUAUGACUCAUACCCAGGAUGUUACUGGAACCGGCUAUUUGGAGCUUACCAUCACUGCAGCACCUCUAAAAUCUAUGAAGUGUGAUCUAUGCGAAUGGAAAUCCAUGUAUUGAAUCUGGAGCUGCUGUUGAAGCAAAGGUAGAAGGAAGACACCAAAAGGGGGGAACUGAAGAAGUCAGAGUGCUAACCCAGG